UACGUAGGGUGCGAGCGUUAAUCGGAAUUACUGGGCGUAAAGCGUGCGUAGGCGGUUCGUUAUGUCGGAUGUGAAAGCCCUUGGCUUAACCGAGGAAGUGCAUCCGAAACUGGCGAGCUAGAGUACGAAAGAGGAUCGCGGAAUUCCCGGUGUAGAGGUGAAAUUCGUAGAUAUCGGGAGGAACACCGGUGGCGAAGGCGGCUCACUGGCUCGUAACUGACGCUCAUGCACGACAGCGUGGGGAUCAAACAGG
rnacentral:rRNA from 1 species